rnacentral:rRNA from 1 species
GACGAACGCUGGCGGCGUGCUUAACACAUGCAAGUCGAACGAAGUGGCCAACGGUUGAGUAAUACGUGUGUAACCUUCCCUCCUUUUUGGCAUAACCCUUCGUAACGGCGUCUAAUUCCCAAUAAAGUUGGAUGCUCUCGCGGCCUAUGUUCUUGUUGGUGGGGUGAUGGCCUACCCAGGCGGUGACUGGUAGCCGGGCUGAGAGGGUGACCGGCCACAUUGGGACUGAGCUACGGGCCGGACUCAUACGGGAGGCAGCAGUGGGGAAUAUUGCACAAUGGGCGCAAGGCUGAUGCAGCAAUGCCGCGUGUAUGAAGAAGGCCUUCGGGUUGUAAAGUAAUUUAAGCGAGGAGGCGGUACUCGAAGAAGAAGGAACGGCUAACUCCGUGCCAGCAGACGCGGUAAUAG